GGAAAUUAAAGAUAAAUGGAAGGAGAAGUUACCAAGUUGUUUGUGGGAGGUGGGAAAGUGGUUUCCAAAAGUGUGAGGAGGAGACGGAGGGGACAGAGAGCCCUGGGUAGAUGCACUGAGCUGGCACAGCAAGAAGAAGAAAUAUUAUAGCAUUUCCUGGUAGAGAGAGUUAUUAAGUACACGAGUUCCAUGCUGCUAUACACAGGUAAGGUCUGCUUUGCCCAGCCAUCCCAAGCAUGCUUUUCCAUUCUCAUUAACUUAGGCCUUAAAUCAGCUAAGAGUGCCUUAAAAAGGUCCCUUGAGCUGGUUUCUGGAACAAAGCUGAUGACAAAUUCACAUCAGUAGUUUUGACACCCUUGUGCUGAGCCAGUAUGUCUGAAGGCAGCAGGAGGCAGCGGCUCUGCCAGCCUUUCCCAUGGGCACUCCGAGUGAGUUUGUCACAGUAUCACACAGUAUCACAGUAUGUUUGGGAUUGGAAGGGACCUCAAAAGAUCAUCUAGUCCAAUCCCGCUGCUGAAGCAGGAACACCUAGGUGAGGUCGCACAGGAACAUGUCCAGGCAGGUCUUGAAUGUCUUCAGCGAAGGAGACUCCACAACCCCCCUGGGCAGCCUGUUCCAGUGUCUGUCACCCUCACUGAGAAGAAGUUUUUUCUCAAAUUUAAGCGUAACCUCUUGUGUUCCAGCUUGAUCCCAUUACCCCUUGUCCUAUCACUGUUUGCCACUGAGAAGAGCCUGGCUCCAUCCUCUUGAGAGUCACCCUUUAUUUAUUUAUAAACAUUAAUAAGGUCACCCCUCCGUCUCCUCCAGACUAAAGAGACCCAGCUCCCUCAGCCUUUCUUCAUAAGGGAGGUGCUCCACUCCCUUAAUCAUCUCAGUUGCCCUACACUGGACCCUCCCCAGCAGUUCCCUGUCCUUCUUGAACUGAGGGGCCCAGAACUGGACACAAUAUUCUAGAUGGGGUCUCACCAGGGUGGAGUAGAGGGGAAGGAGAACCUCUCUGACUAACCACCCCCCUUGCAAUACACCCGAGGAUGCCAUUGGCCUUCCUGGCCACAAGGGCACAGUGCUGGCUCAUGGUCAUCCUGUUGUCCACCAGGACCCCCAGGUCCCUUUCCCCUACACUGCUCUCUAAUAUGUAAUUUCCCAACCUAUAGUGGAACCUGGGGUUGUUCCUGCCCAGAUGCAGGACUCUACACUUUCCCUUGUUACAUUUCAUCAGGUUAUUCCCCGCCCAACUCUCCAGCCUGCCCAGGUCCCGCUGGAUGGCAGCACAGCCUUCUGGCAUGUCAGCCACUCCUCCCAGCUUAGUGUCAUCAGCAAACUUGCUGAUAGUACACUCAAUUCCCUGGUCCAAAUCAUUAAUGAAUAUAUUGAAUAAUAUUGGCCCCAGUACUGACCCCUGAGGCACUGCACUAGAUACUGGCCUCCAGCUAGACUCCGCACCAUUGACUACCACUCUCUGGCUUCUCUCCUUAAGCCAGUUUGCAACCCACCUCACUACUCUAAUUGUCUAGACCACACCUCCUCAACUUAGCUGUGAGGAUGCUGUGGGAGACUGUGUCAAAGGCUUUACUGAAGUGAAACAGCCCUUCUCUUAGUUACAUGCCAGUGCUCUAAAUUACUUCACAAAAUCUGUAAUUCAGCACAGUGGAAGCAUGUUUCCUACUUUUAGAAGGUGCUGUUACCUGCCUUAGUGUUUAUACCUCAGACUGUCUUUACUGCGUCCGUCAGUAUUGGCUUGCUUCUCAUUAAAAAUAAAUCAAUAAAGGGCAAUGCAUGCCCGCAGGCAUCUCCUUCCCUCCAAGUUUGACAAGAUGAAAGCUCACAUCUAGGCCAAAUGAUUUUACUAAUAAUACUCUAAAUGCAUUCUCUCUGCUGAUAUUCUAAAAUCUAAAAAGAAAAAUUAUGCAUGAGAAAGAACCAGCUGAUGAAGUCUGAAGUUCACUCAACAGUGCUUUGUUAAACCAAACAGACAUAUUUAUUGUACAUCUAUCUGAAAGGUAAACGUGAGAAAGCACAGUAACACUACUAUCAGAUUAACAUUUUGGAUUCAGUCAACUUGUGUUAAAGUUUUCCUGCAUUUCCACACCUCAUCUUCAGCUGUUCAUCACCCCUUUCCAGAAAUUACCAGCCUCUCAGAUCUGUCAGUGUAACUGCACGUGUGGUCUUUCCACAAGCCAGUGUUGCCAAACUGAGCUGUGUUAGAUAACCCCUAUGAUUACAAAUCUUUCAGCCAUUGGAUUGAUUUAGACAGAACUGGGUUAAAAGCAAUCAGAUAUGUUGUUAGUUGACAGUUCGGAGAAGUUUGUAGCCUCUGGUAGUGAUGAGAUGGCCAACAAGAUUAGCAGAAAGUAGUAAUAACCUCAAGCUGGUGCGAUUACUGCCCAAAUAGCCUUACUUAGCAUCAAUGAUCCUAUGUGGACAAGCUGCACCUAUUAAUACUAAGAAGGUAAUAUAAUUAUUAUACCUGAAAUACUGACAGUGUUACUGUUCUAUGUGGUACUUCUUAAAAGCGACAGAAUCAGACUUACAGUUAUGCUUAUAAUUUUCUGUUACCCUAGGAAAAGAGUCCUCUAUCAACAAGGGGUGUUGUGUAACUCUUGGCCAGUCAAUGGCUAACACCUCAGCAGGUUACCUUCUUGCUCAUUAUGUAUAGAAAAUAGUUGUCUUCAGUGUUACUAAACAUUAAAAGUAUGCAUGUCAAACAGGUCUAAGAUGAGGUGAGUUACAGCAGGUUACAGCAUAUUGCUUCUGUGAAAAUUUCGUUGAGUGUGUGAGAGGUAAUGAGAUUGGAGGAGGUAUCAUAAGCCAUGCACUUUUCCCCAUUCCUAAUAACCUAUUAAUAUGUGAACUAAAAAGUGUUCAUAUUUUUAUGUAUGACAUUGUUUUCAAAUUUGAGCAUGAGAAGAGGUUUUGGUGUCAGCUGCUAGAAGAAGAAAUAACUAAGUGUACAGAAGAGUUUGAAGACAAAAGAGUUUGCAGACCUCCAUGAAGAAGGAGAUAACGUUUAAAAAACGACAGAAGUUUUACACUUCAGUAUUUGGGGCACAUGGCAGUUGCACCCUCUCCCACCCCCGCCCCGUUCCGAGAACUGAUAUGGCAGUUGCACAUCCCCCUCUCCUUCAAUGGGGCAGUUAACAGCUUCUUUUGUGAGACCCUCAAUUCGUUGGCCGGGGUCGUUAGCAGAGAAAGGGUGGUGCUGAUGAGCCAGGAAGCUUCUGGGGCGCCGACAGCCGGAGUAGGGGGGUGCAUAGAGGUCGAGAAGCUUCUGGAAUGCCCACAGCCAGGUAUGAUCGGACUAUAAAACUGGGUGCCUGCUGAAGAUCCCCUUUGUGUGGUCUUCUUGGAGCAGCAGGUCUGCAUGCCGGAGCCCUCCCCUUAGACUGGGAUGCCGUCUAAGGUAACUUCCUGGGAAUGGGAGCGCCUCACCUCCUUGUUUGUGUGAGUGAUAUCCUUGAAUAAUUCCUUGCCAGAUCAGGCAAGUGUAAGCCCCUUGCCGAACCCAGGCAAGUGUAACACCCUGCCUAAUUCAGACAAGUGUAGUCUUUGUUAAUACAAGCAAGUGUAGUAUCCUGGAGUCGGAGAUGGCUCUGGCUUUGUUUCUUGUGAGUGCAUGCACGCAUGCUGUGGAUCUCCAUCAUUCAUUUGCUGUACCCCAGUAAUUUCCUCAACUGAUAUCCAAACCUGUAUUUUAUGUUACCAGAGUGCUAACUAACUGUAUAAACCCUGUUUAUAGUUGGUUGUUUUCCCGGACUUUUCCAGCCAGAAUAAAAGUCUGUUUUGGAUCUUGUUUGCCCCCCAAAACUGAUUUUGGGGUGCCUCUGUGACAGUGCAGUAUUAAUGAAGCCAAAUUAUAGUAUUAUAGAUGCAAAUACUAUCUAGUAUAAUGAAGUCUAGAAUAAGUAUAAAUUUAUUUAAAAAUAAACCUGAUUUUCAGUGCAAAAUUGUAUUUGUGCUUUUGACUGGAUAAAGUCUUUAUGUACAGUUACAUGAAGGUGAAUAUUUUUCUUAAUUGCACUGUUUUACUUUUUAAUAUUUUCAGUCCAGAUCCUUCUUGUCAUGCUUCUGACUGGUCUGUCCAACCUGUGUUGCUGCACAGACUGGGGCAACCUCUUCCAUGCUGGCUGAGACAGGAGCUAUAGAAGAAACAAACCUUGUACUGCUUGUAUCCUGCUUGGAGUCCAGGAGGUAUUCAAAUCUUUAAGGCUUGAUCCUUUAUUCAUCAUUUGGGAUCCUGCCAUGAAUUAUUCACAUUUUAAGAGCCAAGUCAACAGACGGCGCAUCAGUAACCCUUCAGAGACCUACCAGCUGUGGAAGGAUGCACUCUACCUUGACAGGAGCUGACUCAUUUGAAAUUGUAGAGAACUAAUGCUAUACCAAACUACAAAAAGUGCAUUAAAUAGAGGACUUCCAGAAGAAGAGUUGAAUAGCUAUCUCUCAACUCAGGGACUGUAUCUUGUUGCUGGGAAAAAAAACAAACCAAAACAAAAAACAAUUAAUUAUCAUCUGUGAUAAAUAAACCAUCUUUAGGGAGACAUAUUUAGGUAACUUAUAUUUCAUUGCUUUGUUUACAUUUUCAUAAUCAAAGAGUGAAGCAAGGCUUAUUAUAAACAUGGUUAAAGUGCCAUAUUUAAAUCACAAAAUUAGAAAUAUUGAUUUUUUUGCAUGUGUUUGUUAGCUCAUAGAUUGCAAGUAUUAUAGCAUAUCAGUAAUAAGUUCAAUUCAGCAUUCUGCUCAUUGAUUCUUUUCAAAUAGCCCAACUUCUAAAAGUGUGGGCUGAUGUUUAUUAUAGCAGCCAGAAUGUCUUUGUCAAUUUCUAAAUCUGAGAUAAGGACUAAGUAUCCAUUCUCACAACUGUAAAAAGUGCUUCUAAAUGUCUGUGUACUGAAACUUAGAAACUCCUGCUAUAUCUUCUGUUCUUGCUGGGCAUAACUGAAAUAAGGAAAGCAAGAACAACUUUGUUUUCAGAAAUUAUUGACAGAUACAAGACUUCCAUUUGGCUGGACUCUGAAAUACAGCAGAAGCCAGAUUUGGUGGAAAAAGUGUAACUUGAUUUAUAAACCAACAUUUAACAUUGAAGCACAAUAUUAUGCUUCUUGUGUUUGGCAAACUAUCAGAAAAAAAUUAAAACAGAGUUCACUGACGGAUACUGAAGUGAUAGAUUUUGACCAUUUUGAAACAUCUUUGAUUCUUGUAAAGGGGGACAAAUUUUGAAACUAGAACUUAGAUGUUCUGAAUCUAAUAAAAAUAUGUGUAAAAAAAUCAAAGAGUUCUUAGUAAUAAGUUAAAGGAUUUAGCAUUUUUUUAUGUAGUAAUGUUUUUAAACCUCAGCUCAGCUGAAAUAGUCAUGAACACUAUCAAGAAAGAAUAGUGAUUUUUCUUUUUCUGUGUCUAUAAAUAGCACUAUAUCAUUCACUAAUGAUUAAGACAAUUCCCAGCAUACUUACAAUUUGGCCAUUUACUCCUCAAAUGUUCGUACAAAUACAUACGAAUAUAUUUGGCUGCAUAUAUCUAUCUAAAUGAACUGUUGUGCAAUGCUUGCAUUUAACUAGACACAGUAUAUUUCGAGCCUUUACACCUCCAUUUUAAGCAAGAAAUUUCAUUUGAAAUUUCAGUUUCCUAGCAGCUAAAUUCUAAUGAUGAUAAAUAUAAAUCAUGAGAAAAAAAUUGUUUAAGGUUGCUUAUUUUCUUUCAAAAGUGGACCUUCCAAGUACAAAGUUGAUAGUAACUGAAUUAUUUCUACUUGAUAGUAAAUUGUAAUUACAAUGGCAGACUUUUCUAACCUUGGUUUCCUAAAUGUUCUUAGUACAUUGCUCAGAGGAAAUUGGGUGAAAAUACAGAAAAUUUACAAAUGUAUGUCCUGAUGAUGCCCUUUCUGGUGCAGGUAGGACAGAAGAACCUCGGACGCAGGGACUGCCCAGCCCUGCACCAGUGGCAGGUGAGGCUCAGAGGGCUGUAAUGCAUAUGAGCUCCGAGUUGGGCUGAAUGCUGGGCCCACACUAACAUUUUGGGGAGGUAUUGUUGAUCCCUGAGACAGGGCACAGCAUUACUAACCACGCAGAAAGGACACGCUUUGUCAGUGCCAACACUGGCCUGGCCAAUGCCCAAACCAAUUCUUCAUGUGUAUUUUUAGUACUUGUCAUUUGGAGAUGUUGAACCUUGGUAGUUUGUUGUCAAAAGACAUGUAAAGUCUCCUCACCGACCUCUUUUAUAUCAUUAUAGAUAUACUGACUUUGUACAUUAUUCCUGAGCUAUACAGGGAGAAGGGAGAAAAGAAGCAUGCCCCAGGAGUAAAUUCCAAUUUAAGUGUAGGCUUGUGUAUAGCCACUUAUUCAUAUGAAUUAUAUGAAAGCCAUGGAUACUCUAUGUGUAAAUCCAGGUGGAACCACACCACUAAUCUAUGAAUGUUUUGCACUCCUGAGGGAAGAAAAAACAAACCUGGAGAUCUGACAGCCUCAUGAAAGCAUUCCCAUUGUGGCAUAAUCUUUUAGAAAAAAAAUAAAUCAUACCCCAUCUUUUUGUAAAUUGACCUGUAAGUUACUGGCAGUAAAUCAAUAGGAUCCAAAUGAAAAAUAAUAAUGCAAUAACAAUGCUGUGUAUUAACUUGGACCCCAGAUGAAAACUUGUGAAGUGAUCAAUGUGAUAAAGAUUCAGUGCUGUUACUCUUUUACAAAGAAACGACAAAACAACAUACUGUUUUCAAAAGGUGGCUGUAAAAAAAACCAAACCCAUCUGCCAAGAAUGAAAAGAUAAACCCAAAUAUAAAGCAUUUCCUUGUUUGUUUGUCUGUUUCUUUUUCCCCAGACUUCCAUUAAUUUGAAUUGGAAUCAAAAGGAGCAAUUUUUUUUUUGUUUGGAGGAAAAGCAAGCAAGCUAAAAAAUCAUUCAUUUUCACAUUAGACCACGAAGGUCAAUGGAUGAAAACUUGCAUAUGACAAGAACAUGAAAACCAGUGAUUUUGUGAAGUACUUGGGUACACUUAUUUUGUUUAUCAUUUAAUUUUAACUACUCCCUCCAAAUAUUGUUUUGGAGCUGUUGAACUUGUUCGUCACAGACCAAACAAAAUUUUGUUUGUUAAUUAAGGCAAAGAUGGUGAUUUGAAAGAGGUUUUUUCCUCCCAGCCUUAAAAGCUUGUCUCAUUUAUGGAGUGGGUAUGGUGAGGCAGGUAGAAAGCUACAGGUAGAGAAAGGUCUAUGUAGAGCUGUUGCCCCAGGCGGUGUGAGGAGCUGUGUAGCUCUGCCCUGGGACCACGGUGUGACACAAACGUGAAUGCUGUGUCAGCUGCUGCUGAUGACACAGAAUUAUUGUUAAAGUAUAUUAAACCUUUUACUGAAUUGGGGAUUUAAGGAUUAUGAAUCUUCAAAGAUUAAUUUAAAAAAAUAACAGGGUGAAGAGAUACUCUAGAAAUCCACUCUUAGCUGUAUUGUAGUUUAACAAUCACAACCAUUUCUUACCAUGCCAUGGACCUGGAUAGAUUCCUACAAACUUUCCGUAAGAUGAGGAAUGAAACUUAAAACGGCAGAGAUAGGAUUACAGCAAGGCUUCAUUAUUUAAAAAUAAUCUUCACUGAAUGAAAUCUAAAAUUAGUAAAUUCAUUUUCCAUAUGUGAUUGCCACAAAUAUGGUACAGAAUAGAAAACUAAGAGCAGGCAACCUAACUGGAAACUCAAGAGGAGAGAGAGAAGAGCAGCCAUGCAGCCUGGAUGUUGACGGGGCAGCACAGAGAUUGGCAUCACCGUCACAUGCACAGCAGCAUUCUGAUGUGGCUGUGAGUCUCAGCAUUGCGGACACCGAGAGAGAAAACGCCAGAGGACGAUGGGCACACAGCACAGGGAGAGACAGUCAUGUUUAGGAGUGUUAUCUGAAUCUCUGAAUUCAUCCCUUCGAUCAUUCAGUGAUAUACGUUUAUAUACACAAAAGUAAAGGACAUUCUGUUUGAAAGCUUCUAGUAAAGGAAAUUCACAGUACAAACUGAAUGACUGCUUCUGUAGUUCAAAACAAAUAAUCCCACAUACUGCUGUUUUACAUACACCAUGUGUGACACCACACUGAGGUCUAAGAGGAAAUAAGUUUUAAUGCCAGCUUCGGGGCUGAUAUGUGUGCAAGACAACAGGGUCGAUGCUAAGGCCAAGAACUACAAGGCAACUGAUUAAGCAUUAGUCACAAGUGUUCUGUAUGUAUCCCUGGAGGUCUGAAAGAUGCUUUUCAGACAAGCAGAAAAGACUUCACUUCGGUGAUUUUAAACUUAAAAUGAGUCAUAAAAGCCAGAUAAUAAAUGGAGAAGGAAUUAAGACAGCACUAAAAGAGAAGUGGUAAACUUAUGUGAGGGCAGCAUUUACAUGAAACAGCCUUGCCAUUCCAGCUUGUUUUCUUGCAAGUAGAAGUUAGACCACUGUCUCAUGCAUUAGUCUUAAUAUCUAUCCAUGGCCACUUUAUUGAGCAACAUUUUUACAAAUAAAAGGAUGAAACAAUUGUGGCAACUUGUACAUUCCCAGAAUUACGUAAAAUAACUUGCACAAUCAGUGCAACAUGGCACAUAGCAGUUACCCUCUGAUCUCACCUAUAUUUUCAUUCUGGAUUACUAAGUGCAGUGUGAAAAACAAAUGCUUUUCUUGAGAGGCAGCCAAAAGGUACAGUUUUCAAAUUUCAGUUCAUGUUGAGAUCUUAUUCAUAAUUUCAUAUGAAUAAGUUCAUAGCUUAGAUAUUUACAUGAUUGCUUGAAGGUGCAUUUAAAGUAAUUUAUCUACAUAUAUGUGCAUUGCUGUAGGAAUUUUAAGAGUUAUUUCAAUAUUAAUCCACAGUUCAUGGUUAUGAGUACAGAUCAAAGAUCCUCAUGUGGCUCCAGCCCCAAGAUGGGCCACCACCUAUGGGGUGACAGUUUCUCCUGUUUAAAUCACACACAUUCAAUUUGCUGUGACCUUGAAAUAAAGGAGGAAAAUCUCACUAGCUGUGAAGACUUAAGUCCUGUGGCAUAUAAGCCAAUAGAGAUGUUGGAAAUUAUUGCUAGAAAACUGUAUCUGUCAGGAAAUGGUAGGAUUCUCCAAUUUUAAUUAUGUUUUCUCUGGGUUUUGUUUUUGUUUAGAAAAUUGUGCUUUUUGGUUUUUUUUUGGUAUUUUUGUUUGUUUGUUUGUGUUUUUUUUUUUUGUUUUGUUUUUUUUUAAUAGUGUCUGCUUUUUCCCUUUCAAAAGGCAUUUGUUGAAAAUCAGAGCUACCUCAAAAUUGAAAAAUCUCACUUUGGGGAUCUUUAAAAAAAAUACUUCAUGGGAAUACAAUGAAGUUUUUCAGACAGUUGAAGUUACCACCUGUUUGCAACAACUAAGGAAAAAAUCCACUAUCAGGAAUGUACUUUGACAUGUAAGAGGAAUAGCAGAAGCUUGUUUCCAUAUCCUGCUGGGCACCAAAAUAUUUAAUAAAGUCACCAGACGUCCUUUUUGCCAACACAUACGUGCACUGAAGACCGUGCGAACCCUUACUGUUUCUCACUGCCCUUGUGCUGCAGAUAAUUCUGCCCACAGUUCCUCUGGAUGGAGGUUUUCUUUGGUGGGGAAGCAGCUUUAACUUGGUUUAGGUGAAAGUCUGUCACUGGAGCAUUUUUUGAUGAAGGAAGGGAUUUAAUGUCUUACCCAAACAAAAACGUCAAGUAUGUUUACACUUUCGGUUUGGGAUCUCUUUCUCUUUGAAGACUUCAGAAGCAAAUUUUCUGGACGUAUUUGCAGCUCCUUUCAGAGCACAGUAAAACUGACCCCUUAAAGGCAGAGGUCUGUUAAAUUCACAUUGACCUACCUGUGCACUGAGGCAGAGAUUUCCUGCAGGUGCUGCCCCUAACUUAGGGUGAUGUGAAAACGACCAACAAAACCUCUCAGUACAGUGUCUGUGUGGGGCUUGCAGAAGAUGCAUCUCUGAGCAGACAGGUCUCAGAGAUGCUGGUGCCACGGCUUUGCUCUCCCAUGGUCAUACCCUGCCCAAGCCCACCAGCUGCAACACUGACAUCUGGUGCCUGAUGAUUUAGUCCUAUGGUUUUGGCCAGGUGUUGGCAGAGUCCCCAGCAGGUUUCCUGGCCUGGCCAUGGUGCUGCAGGCCUUUGAUACCUGAUCUGGCACCAACUGCUGCAAAUGAGAAAAAGGAACAGGAAUCUGCAUCCGUUUCCUUUUCUACUUGUGGAAAUCCUUUCUGGCACUGAGACAGAUUCAGCAUUGCUGGUUUUUUGCCUGUGGACUUGAAAAAGUUAAAGCAAAAGGACAGGUUGCAAGCUAGAUAAGGAAAAAUCUUCUAGUAGAAAUUACACAGUUUCCAUUUUAAAAAGCCACAAAAAUAUGUCAUAUAAAUAUUUUUUUCUACAGUCAGGGCUAGUUACUACCUUGCUAUGCUAAAUAAGAGCUAUAUAUAUAUAUAUUCAAAGACCAAGAAACCAGCUCUCUUCAUCUGCUAUAAAACUAAACAGUAUUCUAGUAUUCUGUUUUCUAUUUCCAAGUAGGCUGUUAAAUCACAAGAAAGUAUUUUUUAUUCUUUUUUUUUUUCUUUUUACUGCUUUUUUUAGCUGCUAUACUCUUUUCUGUGUGAUUCACAUUCCGUAACAGCCUAAGUUCAAUGAGAGUAUCAGCAUUAAACACUACACAAACACAAUUAGUUUUUAAAUCUUUCAUAGGAUGCGUAAUUAUCAGCACUUAAUUUCUACAGCUGAGGUAUCCUUGACUAUUUCAACAGUUUGGCAUAAUGCUUUCAGUCAAGUGGAACAGUUUCUUAAUUUCCAUUUCUGUGCUCAGGUGUUAACACUAAAAGCCUACUUAGUCAUAAUGUGAAGCAAAGCAAUGAUAAUUCAAACAAAAGCCCCAAAACCAAGGGAAAACAGAAAAAAGGGGGAAGGAACAUGUCAAAGCCAACUUUGUAUGAAAGAUUUGGAGGUAGUCCUUAGCCUUCUCAAUUUUUUGAGAAGUCUCAAGGAUAUAAGGGGAAAUAAAUCACAUAUAUCAACAAAGAAAUGCUGUCUGCGCUAGUUAAGCAGUACGGAAGGAAACAUUUCCUUGCUUCAAAGUCUGCCUUCCUUUGCUCUUUGGUUAACUAUCAAUGAAGCUUGGAGGUCUGGAAAGAGCACAGUGAUGUGCUAGGCCAAAUAACUUUUAAAGUAGAACUCAGACUACUUUCCAACCUAAAAAUAAAUGCAAUGUUUUUAUUUAAUUAUUCAUUCAUCUUUUCUUGUAGGAAAAAUGGGAAUAUGUGAAGUGGAUUCUCAGAAUUAAGCAUUUAUAUCUUGCAUGUAGAACAGAAACCUGAUUCAUCUAUUUGAGACAUAGAUGUAGAAGAUAGCUGAAGGUUAUUUUUGCUGAAAUCUGUUAAUGACAGCAUUAACUUGUAGAUCAGAGACAUUUCCUUAAUAAGCCACACAGUGCUUUGAAAGUAUUUUCCAAAGGUGGUAGGAGAAGAUUCUGUAUUGCAAGAAACAUUCAUUGAGUUUUUCAUGUAUCAAUAAAACAUUGGUCAGUAUGAAUUAGAUGUCUCAUCACAGAAUAUGUGCUGGAUCUCCUGAGAACUGAGAACUUUAAGUUGAGCCAUAACAUAGUCAAAUACAUGUGUAAUACUCAUCUGACUCAAAUUCUGAGAUUAUUGAGAAAAAUCUUCACCUUUACAUUAAGAGACUAGAAGGAAGAGGGGCAAGGCAAGUUGUUUUCUGAAAACAUUUUACAUUUUGCCCUCUACCAUACUUAAGCUCCACUACUGCAGCCUAGUGCUAGAUAGAUAAAACACUGGUGCUAUAUAAAAUUACAGUAUGAAACAAAGACACAGAACAAGAGCUAAGGUCUGUGUGUCCUUUCAUUUAGUUUAUUUGCAAAGUUAUUCAGAAUGAAGACACUUAAUCCCUAAUGUAAACAUGCAGGGAACAUUAUUUAUGUUUAAGAAAAGUUGAAGGCUAACGUAAUGCAAACUGAGAAUUUUGUCUAUUUGUUGUGUGGGAUAAGAACUCUUUUUUGUAGAUAUCAAUGGAUAGUUCAAAGCUGUGGUAUAGCUGCAAUUAAUUUGAAUGACUCAGGUAUCGCAUUCAUUUCAUUGAAUAAAAGAAAGCCUACCUUACACAAUGAAAUACGACAGCAAGUCUAUCAUGUUUUGAUUAUGUUUGCUUGAUGAACCUAAAUAGGUAUUUCACUAUGGUAGAUGUGUUUGAAGCAAUAGCUAAAAGAACUAGGAUUAUAUAAUAAAUACUAUGGGACUUUGCUGUUUAAGGGUAAUUUUAUCCCACAAAUAAACGUUCAUGGUCAUUAUAAAAAAGACUCCACAUGCCUUCAUAGUUAUUACAUUAGACAUUCUCCAUCCUUCUUACUAAAAAAAAAAAUUAAUAAGAAUGAAAUUGACUUCUAAAACAUUUGAUCACUGCUUUUCAGGAAAAUGGAUCAAGGGGUGGUUCUCAUUAUUUUGUUAAGCUUAGAAAAAUACAUUUUAAUGAGAAUGUUUUAAGCUUCAGACCUUCUGUCCACCUACUAAUUGGUGCCUGCCAU